GCCUAGGAAGGAAAGGAGUUGUUGUUUUGUAAAGGAUUGAGGUUUGGAAGAUUAAUCGGACACGGUCAGCAGGGAGAGCACUUGUGUUUUUAUGAGAAUUAUGCCGAGAUAGGUAACAGAUGAGGAUGAAAUUUGGGCUUGACUGAAGUAAUGGGGGCUGUCUGUGAAGCCCUGUGGCAGUACAGCCCAGGUAAUUUGCUGAGCCUAAUGGGUGUCAGGGUCAGUCUAAGUGAAAGCAAAGAGAGGCUUGGAUGAAGGGUGCAAAGGAAUAGUAAAGAAAGCAUGUGUGAGACCCAGAACAAAAUAAUGGGUAGUAGAGUGAGGUAUUGAGGAUAGGAGAGUAUAUGGGUUUGGCACCACGGGGUGGAUAGGCAAAACAAUUUGGUUGAUAAGGCUAAGAUUCUGAACUAACUCGUAAGCCUUGUCCAGUUUUAGGACAGGUAAAAUAGGGGAAUGGUAAGGAGAGUUCAUAGGCUUUAAAAGGCCAUGCUGUAGCAGGCGAGUGAUAACAGGCUUUAAUCAUUUUAAAGAGUGCUGUGGGAUGGGAUCUUGGCAUUGAGCGGGGUAAGGGGGAUUAGGUUUUAAUGAGAUAGUAAGGGGUGCAUGAUCGGUCGCCAAGGAGGGAGGAGAGGUAUCUUAUACUUGUGGGUUAAGGUGGGGGGAUUCAAGAGGAGAAUACAAAGGAGGCUUUGGAUUGGGAAAAAGGGUGGCAAUGAGAUGCAGCUGUAGUCCAGGAAUAGUCAGGGAAGCAGAUACUUUAGUUAAAGUGUCUCAUCCUAAUAAGGGAACUGGGCAGGUGGGGAUAACUAAAAAGGAGUGCUUAAAAGAGUAUUGUCUAAGUUGGCACCAGAGUUGGGGAGUUUUAAGAGGUUUAGAAGCCUGGCCGUCAAUACCCACAACAGUUAUGGAGGCAAGGGAAACAGGCCCUUGAAAAGAAGGUAAUGUGGAGUGGGUAGCCUCCGUAUUGAUUAAGAAGGGGACGGACUUACCCUCCACUCUGAGAGUUACCCGAAGCUCGGCAUCUGUAAUUGUCUACAGGGCUUCCAAGGCGAUCGGGCAGCGUCAGUCUUCAGCCGCUAAGCUGAGAAGAUCUGGGAAGGAGUCAGAGAGCCUUGGGCCAGAGUUCCAGGGGCUUUGGAAGUGGCUACCAGAGAAGGAGCCAUGAUGAAAGAUGGCUUUGACCCAUUUGAAGACUUUCAGCCAGAAAAUGUGCUUUGUACUAGGAGCUGGAGGAACGGCAUUGCCACCACACCAUACCCCUUCUUGAUGGAAUAGCCACAGCCAGAAACCUCCCUCUGUCCCUUCCCACAUGGUGAGUGGCUCUGGGAACUGGGCUGAAGAGAGGGUUGGGUGAGAGGUUACAGGGAAGGAAUCCUGGCUCUUCCUCUUAGUGGCUCUGUGAUCCGGGGAGGUGGCCUGACACCUGUGGUCCUCGGUUCCUGUCAUCAGUAAAGUGAGGUUAUGAAUGCAGCCUGCCUCCAAGAGUGAGCUGUGAGACUCAGGUGCAUUGGGGCAUGGAACAGCACCUGUGAACAGGUGAGGCCAAGAUGAUGCUGUCUGCCCACAAACUGUUUCAGGCUCUUCAUGGGCUUGCAAACCAAGGGAUCCUUCCAGCUCCCCUCCUUCUAGGUGGGGCCGUAGGCCUGGUUUUGGAUGGUGGCAUGAGGGCCAAAACAACAGAUGCCACUUCCAAGCCUGGCACGUCAACCAGCUUCCUCCCAUUCUCUGUCUCACCUCCUUCUGCUACAGCCUUGAAGGCCGUGUGUUGGGACUGGUGGUUCCCCAAGAUGGAAGGAGCCAGAUCUUUGAACAACUGUGUAUAGCAGAGCCUGCCCCAAUCUCCAACCACAUAACCUACAUCAUACUUAGGUGCUGGCGAUUCAUGGACUGACCUGCAUUAUCCUCUGCAGCGUGGAUGACAAGAGAGAGGCUGAGUCGAGUGAGUCCCUGACAGACUGGAGGCCGAGCCUAUUGAAAUCCCUUUUGGAACCAGGCAAGCAGUAAAUAAAUACAGACAUGAAUAGAUGGAAAUGGAAUUUCUACGACCCAAACACCCACACCAUCAGCAAGUUAGAUUUAUAGCAGAGCUUCAGGGAAGAUGACUCCCUCUGCUAACAGCCACGUUUCAGUCUGCCCUAAACCAAGCACACCUACUCACCACCCUCCAGCUGCCCUGAGAUCUCUCUUCUUCCUUUCACCUGCUCUUUCCCUGCCUCCACUUCCUCAACACCCACUCCUCAUUAACCAUUGCAGUCAAGGUCACACCCCCAUUGUUUUACUGGCAGUCUUCUUUGGCGGUCACCAAUGACCUUUUCAUUGCCAGAUGCAAUUAAAAAAUUUUUUUUCUACUAAUACAUAAUAUAUAUACGUGUUUUUGGGGUACAUGUGAUAUUUUGGUACAUGCGUAGAAUGUGUAAUAAUUAAGUCAGAGUAUUUAGGAAAUCCAUCGCCUCAAACAUCUAUCAUUUCUUUGUGUUGGGAACAUUUCACAUCUUCUCUUCUAGCUAUUUUGAAAUAAAUUCCCUGAUUAUAUUCUGUUCUCUGCCUUCUUUGGUGGCGAUUACUCAUAAUACACCAAAGUUCUUUACAAGAUCCUGUCCUUAGCUCUCUUUUUCCUUUUCCUCUCUCACUCCUGUCUCCUUGCAAAUUUCAUCCACUACAACAGCUUCUCCUCCCACAGCUGUGGUUUCCACUCAAGUAGACCUCUUCUGGCCACCAUAUUCCCCUCAAGUCAGAGCUCUGCAUCUUCAACUUUUUGAGUAUUUCCUGUGUGUCCCCCAGCCACCGCCCAGCAUUCUGUAUCAGGCAUCCAACUCAAAUGCCUGGCACUCUCUUUGAUAUCUCUCUUCCUUUAUGUAUUCUCAAAGAACCAAUUACCAAGUACUCCCUACUCAGCUGUUACUGUGAUUCUACCUUCAAAAUUCUUUGCCAAGCAUCUCAAUUCGGAAAUCCAUGUUGGAGUAAACAAAUAGGAAUCUGAGCAAAAUAUAUGAAGCAACUAUUUUCAGACAUUGGACAGUAGGCAAAAGGACCAUGGGUCCCUGAGAGAGGCAGGAUCCAGAGUCUCCCCAGCCUGAGGGCACUUUCUACCCACAGCUUAUGGGAGUGAUCCAAGCAGAGAUGACAGCUCUGCUGAAUUAAGAGAUCAGAAUAUGAAGACAUUGGGCCGGUUCUUAGUUGAGGGGGCAGAGUAAGAAGAUAUGGGGAACUACGGCAGAAAGAGCCUGCCAAUCUGCAUAUGGGUCUCCUUGAGCUUGUUAGUGAAUACUCAUCAGAGCAAGUAUGAAAGAAAUCCAUGAGCAGGGCAGAGAACUCCAGGCACUCACACCAGGCUCCUACCAGAAAAGGAGGAGAGACUUGUUAGGCAUUCAGAAGAAACUUCCAAAAGCUUGAGUCUUUUCAGAUGCAGUUUCUGUAUCUAUUGAAGUGGUUUUUCAUAUAACGUGGUACGAAUAUGUUGGUAAGGAUUUUUACCUUUCCUCGUGAGAGGAAAUGGCUUAUAGUAUUCUAUUCUUGUAAUGUCCUUGUCAAGUUUUGAUAUCAAGAUGAUGCUGAGCUGGCAAUGUUCUUUCCUUCUCUGUUUCUAGAAAAGAAAUUUGUGUAGGCUUGGUAUUCUUUCUUAAAUGUUUGAUAAAAUUCAACACUAAACCAUCUGGGUCUGGAGUUUUCCUUAUGGGAAUUUAAUUCUCAAUUAAAUGUCUUUAAUUUACAUAUGGUUGUUAAGAAUCUCUAUUUCUUCUUUUGUCAAUUUGGGUAAUAUGUGUCUUUCAAGGAAUUUAUUUUACCUAAGUUUUUAAAUUUAUUGUCAUGAAGUUGUACAUAAUAUUCUUACUAUCCUUUUAACAUCUAUCUGUUGGAUCAGUUAUGAUGUUCCCUUUUUCAUUCUUGAUACUUUUAAUGUCUUCUCUUUUUUCCCUUAAUCAGUCUAACUAGAAGUUUAUCAAUUUUUUAUUUUCACUUUUUGAGAUAGGGCCUCAUUCUGCACACAGGCUGAAGUGUGUGGUUAUGAGCUCAGCUCACUACAGUCUUAACUUCCUGGUCUCAAGCAAUCCUCCCACUUUAGUCUCCUGAAUAGCUGGAACUAUAGGUGUGUGCCACCAUGCCCGGGUAAUUUUGUUUUUUCGUUUUGUUUUGUUUUGUUUUUUGUAGAGAUGGGGGUCUCACUGUGUUGCCCAUCCUGGUCUUGAACUCUUGGGUCAAGUAAUCUUCCUGCCUCAGUUUCCCAAAGAGCUGGGAUUACAGAUUUGACCCACCACAUCUGGCCAAGUUUAUCAAUUUUAAAUCAUUUCCAAUAACCAAGAUUUGGUUUCAUUGAUUAUUUUGUCUUUUUUCUAUUUUAUUGAUUUCUUAUUACUUUCUUCUACUUACUUUGGGUAUGAUUGGAGCCCCUUUCUUGCUUCUUAAACUUAUUGAUUUAGAACUCUUUGCUUUUUAUUUUUUAAUUUUAAUUUUUAUUAUUGUUAUUUUUUGUAGAGACAGGGUAUCACUUUGCUGCCAGAAGUGAUCUCAGACUCCCAAGCUUAAGUGAUUUAUCCUGGCCUCCCAAAAUGCUGGGAUUACAGGUACGAGCCACCACGCCCAGCUUAGAACUUCUUAUUUUCAAAUACAAGCAUCUAAAGCAAUAAGCUCUAACUGCGUCCCACAGAUUUUGAUAUGUUGUAUUUUAAUUGUCAUUCUGUUAAAAAUAAUUUCACAGUGGAGAAACUUAACAGAGAUAAUUAAUCAAAUGACCAACAUAAAUUUCAUCAGUAAUGAGACAAGUAGAAAUCCUGUGCUACCUGAUAUGAUACAACAAGAAGAACACAGCAUUGCUUCUGUGAUAUUCUGCCAGAGUUGCACAAUCUGAAUCCAAACAUGAGGAAAUGCCAGACAAAUCCAUAUUAAGGGCUACUGUAUACAUAAAUAACCUAUAAUCUUAAAAUAUUAUAAUCAAAGCCUGAGGAACUCUUCCAGAAUUAAGGAGACUAUAGAGAUGUGUUCAACGGAACACAUAAUUCUGAAUUCGUAUGAUUUUGCUACUGAGACAUCGCUGAAAUUUAAAUGGGGUCUCAAGAUUAUAGGGUUAAUUGAUUUUCAUGGUUGUAUUAUAGGAAAUGCACACUACAGUAUUCAG
rnacentral:lncRNA from 10 species